UACGUAGGGGGCAAGCGUUGUCCGGAUUUAUUGGGCGUAAAGAGCGUGUAGGCGGUUAUGCAGGUCCGCUGUGAAAACUGGAGGCUUAACCUCCAGACGUCGGUGGAAACCGUAUGACUAGAGUCCGGAAGAGGAGAGUGGAAUUCCGGGUGUAGCGGUGAAAUGCGUAGAUAUCCGGAGGAACACCGGUGGCGAAGGCGGCUUCCUGGACCGAUACUGACGCUGAGGCGCGAAAGCUAGGGGAGCAAACGGG
rnacentral:rRNA from 1 species